UUUUUUUCUAUCAGCGGAGGUUAAUGCAAGUGUUUAGCAGAUGCUUUGCUAUAAAACAUCCCCCCCUCCCCCCUUACGCCACUAGAAAUAUCGGAUCAUCCUAAACCAGCUCGCUUGCCUCUGACCGUGUCACCGGCUCCUCCAUCCUGGGAACCGCUUGGGAUCAGUCGGAUGUCCGUUUAACUAGACCGUUGGGUUUAAAACGCCCGCAAGGAAGAAAACAUCGCCGCCGAGUUUAUUUAAGGAAGCAGCGCAGGGCGACAGAGCUCCGAUUCAGAGGACCCAGGCCCGAGACCUCCAGUCAGAGAGAGAAGAUGGGAUGAAUUCGACGACAGAGACAGACAGAGAGGGAGAGAAUACACCCUCCCACAGUCUAUCAGUUCGGCCCCACCCAAAUUCCCAGCGAGCCGUCCAUAAACGAAUCCCUAAAGCCAACAUUUCAACCGGGCUGGACGUUUUGAAGACAGUGAAGACAACCCGUUAUUAGAAGGCACCGAGAUCUGCCAGUUUGCAUGCUCAAGAAUUAUAUUUUUCUGAGAAAUAGAACAUAUUUACACGUGGGAGGGGGGUUCUGCUAAGAGGGAAGAGGAAUCUUUAUUAAAAAAUCUAUAAAGUGGAAGCACACUUGACUUCAUUGUCCAUAAACCUUUGUUAAAUAUGUGUAUCAAUAAAUUCGCCAACAAAUGUUCACCCGUUCUUCCACCCUA